UUCCGUCAGUAUACGCCUCCAUGUCGUGGUAUGAAAAACUGGAAAAUAAAAAAAAAGUUUUGAAUUCCCGAAUGAUCCUUUGCAAAGGCAGCUUAAGAUAAUUAUGUCAGCUUUACUGUGGCAGAUAAGCCGUAGUAUAGAUACUGUGUCUUAUUAUGCCUAAUACAUAGCCAACUCUUACAAUGUGG
rnacentral:lncRNA from 1 species